GAGGGUAUAGCUUAGUGGUAGAGUGAGUGUUCAGCAUGCAGGAAGCCCUGGGUUCAAUCCCAGUACCUCCA
rnacentral:tRNA from 1 species